CCUACGGGCGGCAGCAGUGAGGAAUAUUGGUCAAUGGGCGAGAGCCUGAACCAGCCAAGUCGCGUGAAGGAUGACGGCCCUACGGGUUGUAAACUUCUUUUGUCAGGGAGCAAUUGGGUCCACGCGUGGGCUUAGCGAGAGUACCUGAAGAAAAAGCAUCGGCUAACUCCGUCCCAGCAGCCGCGGUAAUACGGAGGUGGCGAGCGUUAUCCGGAUUUAUUGGGUUUACAGGGUGCGUAGGCGGCAUAUCAAGUCAGCGGGAAAAAUUCGGGGCUAACCCCCGUCGUGCCGUUGAAACUGGCGUUCUAGAGUGGGCGAGAGGGAGGCGGAAUGCGUGGUGUAGCGGUGAAAUGCAUAGAUAUCACGCAGAACUCCGAUUGCGAAGGCAGCACACCGGCGACCAACUGACGCUGAAGUGCGAAAGCGUGGGUAUCGAACAGGAUUAGAUACCCUAGUAGUC
rnacentral:rRNA from 1 species